rnacentral:rRNA from 2 species
UUAUCGGAGAGUUUGAUCCUGGCUCAGGACGAACGCUGGCGGCGUGCCUAAUACAUGCAAGUCGAGCGG